UACGUAGGGGGCUAGCGUUGUCCGGAAUCAUUGGGCGUAAAGAGCGUGUAGGCGGCCCGGUAAGUCCGCUGUAAAAGUCAAAGGCUCAACCUUUGAAUGUCAGUGGAUACUGCCGGGCUAGAGUCCGGAAGAGGCGAGUGGAACUCCUGGUGUAGCGGUGGAAUGCGCAGAUAUCAGGAAGAACACCAAUGGCGAAGGCAGCUCGCUGGGACGGUACUGACGCUGAGGCGCGAAAGCGUGGGGAGCAAACAGG
rnacentral:rRNA from 1 species